rnacentral:rRNA from 1 species
AUGUUUGCCCGCGCAAGGAAGGUGUGCCACAUUGCGCUCCCGUCGCUGAAUCCCCAUGACUCCUUCCCUUCGCUUCUCAUUGUGAGCGUUCAGUUGCCUACCUAUCCCACUACCAUGUUCGGUGAGAACGACGGCGACGGUGUAAGCCCAGUCCUGUAUUUGAAGAUAUUCGACAGCUUCGACAAGGAGAUUUCUCCUCGGCUCAAGGACAGCAUCAAGAGUGUGAUGAAUGAGGAAACGAAGAAGGUCAAGGGGUUCCCGGGGGACAACAACGUGCCCUACACAGAGAGGCUGAAAAUCCUGGCCGGCAUUAUAAACCCUGAAGACCUACAGCUCAGCACCCUGAAGACCUUCAGAAGCCGGUGUUGUCUAGAUCCUAGCACAAGUUCUACAAGGGAUCCAUUGUCAGCGUCGUUCAUUGAUUCAGAUCCAUUGUGCCAUUGGAAUGACUUGGAUUCUGCCAUUGUCACCAGCCCGAGGUUGGUUUUACGUUUCUUAUUGGAAGAGUGA